rnacentral:rRNA from 1 species
CGGGGGUGCGAGCGUUGUCCGGAAUCACUGGGCGUAAAGGGCGCGUAGGUGGUUUGAUAAGGGUGUGGUGAAAGUCCGGGGCUCAACCCCGGAUCUGCCGUGCCGACUGUCAAACUCGAGGGCUGUAGAGGCAGACGGAAUUCCGGGUGUAGCGGUGGAAUGCGUAGAGAUCCGGAGGAAGACCGGUGGCGAAGGCGGUCUGCUGGGCAGUUUCUGACACUGAUGCGCGACAGCGUGGGGAGCAAACAGGAUUAGAUACCCUGGUAGUCCACGCCGUAAACGAUGGGUACUAGGUGCCUGGGGGAGCGACCCUCUGGGUGCCGGCGCUAACGCAGGAAGUACCCCGCCUGGGGAGUACGACCGCAAGGUUG